rnacentral:rRNA from 1 species
AUUGAACGCUGGCGGCAGGCCUAACACAUGCAAGUCGAGCGAGCGGCGGACGGGUGAGUAAUGUCUGGGAAACUGCCCGAGGGAGGGGGAGAAAUACAGUAAAAGGUAGCUAAUACCGCAUACCAUCAGAUGUGCCCAGAUGUGAUUGGCUAUUGGGUGGGGUAACGGCUCACCUAGGGGCCGAUACCUAGCGGGUCUGAGAGGAUGACCAGCCACACUGGAACGGAGACACGGUCCAGACUCCUACGGGAGGCAGCAGUGGGGAAUAUUGCACAAUGGGCGCAAGCCUGAUGCAGCCAUGCCGCGUGUGUGAAGAAGGCCUUCGGGUUGUAAAGCACUUUCAGCGGGGAGGCGUUACCCGCAGAAGAAGCACCGGCUAACUCCGUGCCAGCAGCCGCGGUAAUUC